rnacentral:rRNA from 1 species
CGUUAAGCGGCGCGCCUAACACAUGCAAGUCGCACGAGAAAGGGAGCAAUCCCCGGUACAGUGGCGCACGGGUGAGUAACACGUAGAUGACCUUCCCUGGAGUGGUGGAUAACCUGCCGAAAGGCGGGCUAAUACAGCAUGGGACCACAUGGUUUUGACCGAGUGGUGAAAGCGGGCCUCUGUUCACAAGCUCGCGCUCUGGGAUGGGUCUGCGUCCCAUCAGCUAGUUGGUGAGGUAAUGGCUCACCAAGGCAUCGACGGGUAGCUGGUCUGAGAGGAUGACCAGCCACACUGGAACUGAGACACGGUCCAGACUCCUACGGGAGGCAGCAGUGGGGAAUCUUGCGCAAUGGGCGAAAGCCUGACGCAGCGACGCCGCGUGGGUGAUGAAGGCCUUCGGGUUGUAAAGCCCUGUGGGGAGGAACGAACCGUACGGGGGCGAACACCCUCCGUACCUGACGGUACCUCCUUAGCAAGCAUCGGCUAACUCUGUG